GGAGACAGUCAUAGAGAAAUGUGUUGUUGGCAUCGAUUUCCAAUGGUUGGGCAAUGGCUUCCACCAUCUGGACCAGGUGACGUCAGCUAUCUGGAUUUCUGCCAGCAUUCCCCGGCACAGGAAACAGACUUCCGGCUGUCUGGGCUCUGAGCCAUCUCCGGCCUCCUGAAGUUGGAUGCUGAAACUUGCAGUCACACAAGGACUUGAACCUAGAGCUUUUCUAAAGUCCGUACUCUUUCCGGUACCCUGAGCCAGGGGAGCCAGCGGGCAGAAAUGAUGUGUGAGAUACCCUCUCUCCCUUCACUUCCAUGUGAUCUGUUACUCAUUUUGUCAAGACAUCCUGGGUCCCAGGUGCCAGGUGCUACACAAGAUACUGGCUAUAGCAGCGAACAGGACAGCCCGUCUCAUCCUCAUGGAGGUCACAGGACAAUGAGAAGAAAGACUUUGAACAAGUAAUUACAGGGUGUUGGGUGUUAUGAAAGAAAAGCAUGGUGGUGUAUAAUGAGGUCAUCUAAUUUAGUCUGGGGUGACAAGGAAUGCCUACUAAAGAAGGUAUCGUUGAAGACAUACCUGGGGAUUAGUGGUAGUGAAAACAGAAGCUCCAGAAAGGCAGGGACCAUGGCUGACAUGUUUACCAUGCCAGUGUCUGGUGUGAAAGAGGCACCAAUUCCUUUGGUUGAAAGGAUGAAGUAAUCUAGCUGAAUAAAGGGUGUGUGCAUGCAUGCAGGUGUGUUUGUAGUUAACCUUCCUUUAGCUCAGCUUAGGAAACAGCUUUUGUAAAACUGCGUAACCAGUAGUAGUUACUGAGAGAGGAAUAUGAAUGAGAUACACACCAUUAAAGACAACUUACUAACAGAACAA
rnacentral:lncRNA from 1 species